AUACUCCUCAUUUGGGGAAGGUGAGAACCUUCGCUAAGGUUCGAGUUGAGCGUAGCGAAACAACAAUGCGACGCUUGCGGCGCGUUGGCCCGCAGGGCGAGGAACGCAGUGACGAGUCAUCCUUCCCCCACCACCA
rnacentral:sRNA from 3 species